rnacentral:rRNA from 1 species
AGAGUUUGAUCCUGGCUCAGAUUGAACGCUGGCGGCAUGCCUUACACAUGCAAGUCGAACGGCAGCACGGGGGCAACCCUGGUGGCGAGUGGCGAACGGGUGAGUAAUAUAUCGGAACGUGCCCUAGAGUGGGGGAUAACGUAGCGAAAGUUACGCUAAUACCGCAUACGAUCUACGGAUGAAAGUGGGGGAUCGCAAGACCUCAUGCUCGUGGAGCGGCCGAUAUCUGAUUAGCUAGUUGGUGGGGUAAAGGCCUACCAAGGCAUCGAUCAGUAGCUGGUCUGAGAGGACGACCAGCCACACUGGGACUGAGACACGGCCCAGACUCCUACGGGAGGCAGCAGUGGGGAAUUUUGGACAAUGGGGGCAACCCUGAUCCAGCAAUGCCGCGUGAGUGAAGAAGGCCUUCGGGUUGUAAAGCUCUUUUGUCAGGGAAGAAACGGUUGUUCCUAAUACGGAUGACUAAUGACGGUACCUGAAGAAUAAGCACCGGCUAACUACGUGCCAGCAGCCGCGGUAAUACGUAGGGUGCGAGCGUUAAUCGGAAUUACUGGGCGUAAAGCGUGCGCAGGCGGUUGUGCAAGACAGAUGUGAAAUCCCCGGGCUUAACCUGGGAAUUGCAUUUGUGACUGCACGGCUAGAGUGUGUCAGAGGGGGGUAGAAUUCCACGUAGCAGUGAAAUGCGUAGAUAUGUGGAGGAAUACCGAUGGCGAAGGCAGCCCCCUGGGAUAACACUGACGCUCAUGCACGAAAGCGUGGGGAGCAAACAGGAUUAGAUACCCUAGUAGUCC